GUCAAUUAUUCAUAAGAAAAAUAUACAUAAUCAACAUACUUUAUAUUGUAAAAGUUUCUAACACUGUUACACACUCAGCAGGGAUGAAUCAUGAACUGUUCCAUAUUCAUGAUUAUGGGCGGAGCUACAGCAUCUUUUAUCAAGAGUAAAAGAGACUUCAGUGAAAGUGAAAUUAACAGAUGAACUGAAAGCUUCAAACAGCACUUCAUUUCAGUAACUCUGAAAUCAACGACCAGAUCUGAUAUUCACUCUCAGUCAUGGCAUCCUCCAGUGGUUCAGCACUAAAUAAGGAGCUCCAGUGCUCCAUCUGUCUGGAAGUGUUCACUGAUCCAGUCACCACUCCAUGUGGACACAACUUCUGCAGAUCCUGCCUGAGCAAGUGCUGGACGAACACUUGGACCUGCUUCUGUCCACUCUGUAAUGAAAGAUUCAGCAUACGACCUGAUCUCAAGAUUAAUACAACACUCAGAGAGGUUGUGCAAUACUUUAAGACUCGCACCUCCAAUGACAGUUUCACUAUUUCAUCUGAAACCGUCCACAUGAUUAUUGGUGUGGGUGUCCUGUUGAUAGCAGCGUUGAUCAUCUUGUCUACACAAUACACCCCAGUGGAACCAGGACAACACAAACCUCAAGGAGGGAUGAAGAAAACCUGUGCUCUGCAGUUCCAAGACUCCUCGUGUACCUAUUAUAUUAUAUAUAAUAUAUUAUAUGUGAUAUUUAUUAUUACAUAUCAUAUCAUUAUAUUAAUAUACAACUUUUAUUAUUAUUUGAUUGCACUGUCCAUUGCAUUAUUGUCGAAAUUCUUGAGUUUUUUUGAAAAUAUAUUUAUAUUAUGAUUAUUGUAAAUUUUAUGUAACACUACUGUUAAAUCAUCAAGACCUGGGUUUCAGCAAUUGAUGGUGAGUAAGCUGGGUUUUCUCUGGAAAGUUAUAAUCUGCUGGCGGUGCCUCCAAAAAUGUGUCAACUAUACACCAAGAAAAUAGAUUAUGUACACUGUUCUCCUAAUUAAAUAAAAUGAAUUUCUCUAUUUGC